GGACUACUGGGGUAUCUAAUCCUGUUCGCUACCCACGCUUUCGUGCCUCAGCGUCAGUUUGAGUCCAGAGAGCCGCCUUCGCAACAGGUGUUCCUUCCGAUAUCUACGCAUUUCACCGCUACACCGGAAAUUCCGCUCCCCUCUACUCAACUCUAGAUGCCCAGUCUUAAUUGCAGUUCCUAGGUUAAGCCCAGGCCUUUCACAACUAACUUAAGCUCCCGCCUACGCACCCUUUACGCCCAGUAAGUCCGAUUAACGCUUGCACCCUCUGUAUUACCGCGGCGGCUGGCAC
rnacentral:rRNA from 1 species